AGAGUUUGAUCAUGGCUCAGAAUCAACGCUGGCGGCGCGCCUAACACAUGCAAGUCGAACGAGAAAGUGGAGCAAUCCAUGAGUACAGUGGCGUACGGGUGAGUAACACGUGGGUGAUCUACCUCUUAGUGAGGAAUAACCCUGGGAAACCGGGGCUAAUACCGCAUAAGCCUGAGAAGGGAAAGUCGAAAGACGCUGAGAGAGGAGCCCGCGGCCGAUUAGCUAGUUGGUGAGGUAAGAGCCCACCAAGGCAGAGAUCGGUAGCCGGCCUGAGAGGGCACACGGCCACACUGGCACUGAAACACGGGCCAGACUCCUACGGGAGGCAGCAGUGGGGAAUCUUGCACAAUGGGGGAAACCCUGAUGCAGCGACGCCGCGUGAGCGAUGAAGCCCUUCGGGGUGUAAAGCUCUUUCGGCAGGGAAGAUAGUGACGGUACCUGCAGAAGCAGCUGCGGCUAACUACGUGCCAGCAGCCGCGGUAAUACGUAGGCAGCAAGCGUUGUUCGGAGUUACUGGGCGUAAAGGGUGUGUAGGCGGUUCUUUAAGUUUGGUGUGAAAUCUCCCGGCUCAACCGGGAGGGUGCGCCGAAUACUGAGGGACUAGAGUGCGGGAGAGGAAAGUGGAAUUCCUGGUGUAGCGGUGAAAUGCGUAGAUAUCAGGAGGAACACCGGUGGUGUAGACGGCUUUCUGGACCGUAACUGACGCUGAGACACGAAAGCGUGGGUAGCAAACAGGAUUAGAUACCCUAGUAGUCC
rnacentral:rRNA from 1 species